AGGCCUAAUACAUGCAAGUCGAGCGAACGGACGAGAAGCUUGCUUCUCUGAUGUUAGCGGCGGACGGGUGAGUAACACGUGGAUAACCUACCUAUAAGACUGGGAUAACUUCGGGAAACCGGAGCUAAUACCGGAUAAUAUUUUGAACCGCAUGGUUCAAAAGUGAAAGACGGUCUUGCUGUCACUUAUAGAUGGAUCCGCGCUGCAUUAGCUAGUUGGUAAGGUAACGGCUUACCAAGGCAACGAUGCAUAGCCGACCUGAGAGGGUGAUCGGCCACACUGGAACUGAGACACGGUCCAGACUCCUACGGGAGGCAGCAGUAGGGAAUCUUCCGCAAUGGGCGAAAGCCUGACGGAGCAACGCCGCGUGAGUGAUGAAGGUCUUCGGAUCGUAAAACUCUGUUAUUAGGGAAGAACAUAUGUGUAAGUAACUGUGCACAUCUUGACGGUACCUAAUCAGAAAGCCACGGCUAACUACGUGCCAGCAGCCGCGGUAAUACGUAGGUGGCAAGCGUUAUCCGGAAUUAUUGGGCGUAAAGCGCGCGUAGGCGGUUUUUUAAGUCUGAUGUGAAAGCCCACGGCUCAACCGUGGAGGGUCAUUGGAAACUGGAAAACUUGAGUGCAGAAGAGGAAAGUGGAAUUCCAUGUGUAGCGGUGAAAUGCGCAGAGAUAUGGAGGAACACCAGUGGCGAAGGCGACUUUCUGGUCUGUAACUGACGCUGAUGUGCGAAAGC
rnacentral:rRNA from 1 species